ACUCCUACGGGAGGCAGCAGUGGGGAAUAUUGCACAAUGGGCGCAAGCCUGAUGCAGCCAUGCCGCGUGUGUGAAGAAGGCCUUCGGGUUGUAAAGCACUUUCAGUCGUGAGGAAGGUAGUGUAGUUAAUAGCUGCAUUAUUUGACGUUAGCGACAGAAGAAGCACCGGCUAACUCCGUGCCAGCAGCCGCGGUAAUACGGAGGGUGCGAGCGUUAAUCGGAAUUACUGGGCGUAAAGCGCAUGCAGGUGGUUUGUUAAGUCAGAUGUGAAAGCCCGGGGCUCAACCUCGGAAUAGCAUUUGAAACUGGCAGACUAGAGUACUGUAGAGGGGGGUAGAAUUUCAGGUGUAGCGGUGAAAUGCGUAGAGAUCUGAAGGAAUACCGGUGGCGAAGGCGGCCCCCUGGACAGAUACUGACACUCAGAUGCGAAAGCGUGGGGAGCAAACAGGAUUAGAUACCCUGGUAGGAUAGCGUAGUCGUGGGACAAGGCACACAGGGGGGAUA
rnacentral:rRNA from 1 species